CCCAUACCCCUUCCACACUCUCGAUUUAACCUGCAACCCACAAGAAGGAACUCAUCUUUCCAAUACACAGACAUUUAUUUCCUCAAUCUCUACUCCUCUCUCUCGACUAUAUAAGAAACAAACAACAGAGACCUCAUUCCUCCUCUGAUUGUGACAGAAACCCAAACCAGACACUCACACAGCCACUCCCUUCCUCGCCGGCCGGUGAAACAGGUGGAGCCGUGACCGGCGGCAGCUUGUUCACCCGACAAACAGCCAACCCCCCCCCCCCCCCGUCUGUUGAAGAAGAUGACCAUCGAGUGGUGGUCAGCGGCGACCAAACAGAGAGCAGGAAGAAAGAGUGACGGCGGAGAGCCAUCGUCGUGCAGCGGCGUGGUGACGGAACUAGUCGAAACACGAAGACGGAAGGAGAGAGAACCGAGAGAGAGGUUUUGAUGACGGUGGGGUUCGUUCACCAUUUCUUUUCCAGUAACCACGCACCUACACACCUCGUCUCUCUCUCUCUCUGAUUUGGGUUACUGGCGUACGGCGGCGAGAGACGGAGAAAGAAAGAGGAAACAGAGAAAAGAGUGGGGAGUCCGACGGCGGUGGCAGUGGCUGCCGGAGGUCCGAUGUUAGCUCGGGAUUUCGGACUAGGUUCAGUUUGGUUUAGAGUUUGGUUCAGCUUCGAAGCAGACACGGCUCGGUUCAGUCAUGGUUCGUUCGGGUCAGGCAUGGUCAACAUAAUUCAACGCUGGUCAACAACUCGGGUCUCGGGUCAGCCGCGGUUUGAGCUUUUCGGGUCACCCACGGGUUUGUUCGGAUCAGAUUUAAGGAGGGAUUCGGGUUCGACUCGGUGCAUUUCGGCUCGACUCAGUCCAACUCGGUUCGACUCAAUGCAUUUUGGCUUGACUCGGUCAACUCAGGCAAACCUGGUCAACUCGGUGAGUCGACUCGGUCAACUCAGUUGACUCGGUCAACUCAGUUGACUCGGUCAACUCAGUCAACUUUUUCGCGGUUCGACAUGAAGAAUUGGUAAAUAAUUAACAUCGAGAUUAAUACUUACGUUUUAUAAUAGUUUUUGAUGGAUUACGUGAAAACGAGCUCAACCUGACUAACGGUUUUACAUUUAGUGACUUGGUUUUAAUAUUUGGCGUUAUGAUAUAUUUGACGCAAACUAUAUAUAUAAUAUGUGUUGAAUUGUUGAA